rnacentral:rRNA from 1 species
CCUACGGGGGGCAGCAGUGGGGAAUUUUGGACAAUGGGGGCAACCCUGAUCCAGCCAUUCCGCGUGAGUGAAGAAGGCCUUCGGGUUGUAAAGCUCUUUCGCAAGGGAAGAAAACUUACUCAAUAACACUGGGUGAGGCUGACGGUACCUUGAUAAGAAGCACCGGCUAACUACGUGCCAGCAGCCGCGGUAAUACGUAGGGUGCGAGCGUUGCUCGAAAUUUGUGGGCGUAAUGCUUGAGCACGGGUGUGAAAUCCCCGGGCUCAACCUGGGAACUGCGUUUGAAACUACAAGGCUAGAGUAUGGCAGAGGGGGGUAGAAGUCCACGUGUAGCAGUGAAAUGCGUAGAGAUGUGGAGGAAUACCAAUGGCGAAGGCAGCCCCCUGGGUCAAUACUGACGCUCAUGCACGAAAGCGUGGGGAGCAAACAGGAUUAGAUACCCCUGUAGUC